UACAGAGGGUGCAAGCGUUAAUCGGAUUUACUGGGCGUAAAGCGCGCGUAGGCGGCUAAUUAAGUCAAAUGUGAAAUCCCCGAGCUUAACUUGGGAAUUGCAUUCGAUACUGGUUAGCUAGAGUGUGGGAGAGGAUGGUAGAAUUCCAGGUGUAGCGGUGAAUGCGUAGAGAUCUGGAGGAAUACCGAUGGCGAAGGCAGCCAUCUGGCCUAAC
rnacentral:rRNA from 1 species